AGGGAGAGGAGGGAGGGCAAUGCGGAAAUGAGAGAUUCAGGACAAUGGAGGAUGUACUAUGACAACAUAACCAUCACUGGGCAGGGCAGUGACUUUACCCUAUAAAUAGCUAGUCAGUGGCCCCCCUCACUAACUGACUCGUUAACAUCAGGGUUAGUACCCUAUAGGAGGCUUGGCUCCCUCUCCCCCCCUUCCCUAAUAAAAUGUACCUUCUGCUGGCACAGUGAGCAAAACAACCAAACACGCGGGAACAUGGCACGAUGCCCAAGAGGAUACACAAAAAAGCAAAGAAAGUGCUCGUUCAGGAGGAACGUCAGGAGGAGGUGUUAUAAUGGACUUAAGAUGAGUGGGGGCUACAACCAUGUCUUUACCACCCACUAUUACCGCAGUAUAGAUAAAGCUUCCACCUACCCCACCUAUUCUUGGGCCGAGGAACUUUGAAUGUCACCUUUACUUACCACCGCAAACACCAUGAAGAAAAACAGCUCAACUCCCCAAUCCCCAACGUGUAGAAAGAUCAUGCACUUCAAAGACCAUCAAAAAACUCAAGUUCCACGGGAAACAAGAUAAAAGAAGCCAGCCAACAGAAAGGUGACCAAAACAACAACAAAAAAAAGACUCCAAAGCCUGCCUACAUUUCGAGUUCAGUUAGCUUAACCAUAAAUAAACAAAAUGGCACAUC